UACGUAGGUGGCAAGCGUUGUCCGGAUUUACUGGGCGUAAAGAGCUCGCAGGCGGCUGGUUAAGUCCGAUGUGAAAUCUCCCGGCUUAACUGGGAAACUGCAUCGGAAACUGAUCGGCUUGAAGGUGGGAGAGGGUAGUGGAAUUCCCGGUGUAGUGGUGAAAUGCGUAGAUAUCGGGAGGAACACCAGUGGCGAAGGCGACUCCCUGGCCCAUUCUUGACGCCGAGGCGCGAAAGCUAGGGGAGCGAACGGG
rnacentral:rRNA from 1 species